UUGUCGUCAGCUCGUGUCGUGAGAUGUUGGUUAAGUCCCGCAACGAGCGCAACCCUUAUUGCUAGUUACCAUCAUUAAGUUGGGGACUCUAGCGAGACUGCCAGUGAUAAACUGGAGGAAGGUAGGGAUGACGUCAAAUCAUCAUGCCCCUUAUGACCUGGGCUACAAACGUGAUACAAUGGCUGAAACAAAGGGCAGCGAAGCAGUGAUGUGAAGCGAAACCCAAAAAAGCAGUCUCAGUUCGGAUUGAAGUCUGCAACUCGACUUCAUGAAGUCGGAAUCGCUAGUAAUCGCGAAUCAGAACGUCGCGGUGAAUACGUUCUCGGGGUUU
rnacentral:rRNA from 1 species